GCGAAACUGAUUGUGGUUGAUCAUGUGAGUACAGAAUUUCAACUGGCUGAUUUGUUUACUAAACCAUUGGAUUUUAACAGAUUCGUGAAUCUGAGAAAAUCCAUUGGGAUUUGUGAGAUCUAACUUUCUCUGUGAGUUGUGCUGAUCUAAGACAGGGACUGGAGCAAGAACAGACCAUGGAAAUCCUAAGAAUGAAUAGAAGAUCAGCACCCUGUACUUCGGUUUAAAGAGAGUGG
rnacentral:lncRNA from 1 species